rnacentral:rRNA from 1 species
UCUCCGUUGGUGAACCAGCGGAGGGAUCAUA